AGCAGGCUUUACUUCCUGUUACUCAUUUGGGAUUCAUUGUUGAAGUUGGUUAGCCCAAGUAAUUUAACUUUUAUUAUUGUUACUAUUGUUUUUGUCGGGAUCAUUGUCCUAGUUAGUUGGAUUGAAUCCCUAUGACCUUAAGCUCCUGGGUGCUACAUGCUCAAAUAAUUGUAGUUUGGCUGAUUAAUGCACUGGUGGUAAGCAUUGAUCAUUGAUAAUUGAUGGGAUCCUUAAAAGAGUGGACUGCCUAGAUGGUACAAUUGACCGAGCGUUUGUUAUGUGGAAUCGAGCUACAUGGAUGUAGGAUGCAACUAAUUCCCAUGCCCCAUCUGGUUGAGGGAUUUCAGCCCGUCGUGCCUUAGCAGUUGAUUAAUAUUAAGUUGCUCGCGCAAUGAUUAGGGAAUUCAGCUUCAAAUAAAUGUCUGUUUUAAGUUCAUAUUAGAACAUCUAGUUUUGGUUUGGCUGUCAUUUUUCUGCUUGUGUUGACAAUGGUGGUUAGUUUACUUGGGAAAUUCUGUAAAAAAUAAUCCUUUGCCUUUAUAUGCAAGGUCAGCGUCAUUGGAUCACUUGGGAAGUCUACUGUUUGAACUGGGCAAGGAUUGGAGAUUUAUGGGAAAUGAAGAUUAUUUUCCAUUAUCUAGUUUAUUCAACAAAUUAGAGAAGAAAAACACUUCUUAAUUGACAUGAUUAGCGGUGAGAGGUUGCCUGAAGCAACCCAUCUCGAAUUUGGGCGGCAACGUCAUUAACUGCACCGGGUCCAUGAGGGAUAAACACCGCUGAAGAUUUACUGGCCGCACCAAUCUCCUUUAUGGUGUCGAAAUAUUGUGUUAUGAGGAUCAUGUCGAGAACAUCCUUUGAUGUUGUCCCUGGUACAUUAACAGAAAAGCCAAGCACACUGUCUCUUAGACCAUCAACGAUUGCUUGGCGCUGCCUGGCAAUACCAAGUCCUGAUAGGUACUUGGAUUCAGCCUCACCCUCUGCUCGCUUGAUUUGAACGAUCUUCUCUGCCUCUGCUUUCUCAUUAGCUGCUACCCUUAAUCUGGCAGCUGCAUUUAUUUCAUUCAUGGCUCGUUUCACAUGUUCAUCAGGUUCUAUAUCAACGAUGAGUGUUUGCACAAUUUCAUAUCCAUAGGCAGACAUAGCCUUUUCAAGUUCAUCUUCCACAGCUUUGGCAAUUUCAUUCUUCUGCUCAAAAGCAUCAUCCAGAUUAAGUUUUGGAACAGUUGCCCUGAUUACAUCAAAAACGUAGGACUGGAUUUGGGUUCUUGUGUUGCUGAGUUUGUAGAAAGCAUCA
rnacentral:misc_RNA from 1 species